UCCAGGAUAGCCUAGUGGACAUGGCACCUGCCCGGUAAGCAGAAGGUUGUGGGUUCGAUUCCGCUCCUGGAC